GUCUGUUUUGAACUCCCUCCAUAAAUCCCAGUGGGUAGCCACGUUGGAGAAGCCGCAGCUCUAGGCCAUUUCGAUUCGAGGGUGCAGAAUGAAACAGGUUUAGUUCACAUUCCAAAUCAGAAUCAUCCAAACAUAUCUGCUCCAGCUGGUGUGCCCACGUUGGGGGCCAGCGUAACUUCUGAGUGACGUCAGAGCUCAGACUUCACAUCCCUUGUAAAGGCUCAGAUAUUUGCGGACCAUUCUUUAGUGGCUGGGCUUGGAGGGGUGACUCCUGCUUGCAAUACAUUUGUUCGAAGUAAAACCGUGUUAUCCCAGGAAUGAAACCGGGGCUUUCACCAUCAAGGCCCCUUCGCUGGGAGACAGCACAGCCUUCCUUUGCACGCGGGCCAGCAUUCGCCGCAUAGCCAGUGAGCAUAUGUAACCCACUGAAUAAAAAUAGUGGUUAGCAUCACGGGCGGCAGGAAAGUAUGUCCCUUUUCUCAUUACAGUAAGGGAGCCUCAUGGCAUACCUCUCAGGAAACCUAAUAACGUGUUCUAUGACUUUUCCAUGGGCAGGAGCAACUGGUUAGGAAAUCAGAUACGAGACUUCUAGACAGUGACAUUCAAGCCUAGGACUCCAAGGGAGCCCGAACUGGCCGGAGUGUGGUCCCAGCGGGGUGGAAAUACCCCUCAAAGCAUACUGAGUGAAUUCCCGCGAUGCCAGGCCUCUCGGAAAAGUUUCUGGGGCUCGAAGGCCAUCGCAGCUGCCUCCUUGCCUUCCUCGCCGCCACUUGCUCAAGUGGAAAGAAUGUCUAAGGGGUGAGUUCCCGCAAUUCCCAGUUUAUACUGAUUCCCCGCCUGGGGAAGGCUUGGCCGGGCCCGGCCAGGAUGCAAACCGGGUUCCAGUCUGGGGCCUGUACUCCCAUCUCCGCUCUGCGCCACCCUUUGCUCGAAUUCCGGAUUGCCAAGGGCACGUGCAGGAUGCGUGAGGGGCAACGGGCAGGGGUGGGGACGACGAGAGGGUCAUCGCCAGCGCCGGGGGGCAUGUGGAGCUGGGAGAUACAGAAGGACAAGCUUCCAACACAAAGUCACGAGGGCGCUACUGCCCGCCGUCCUCGGCCCCGCUCGGGCUCCGUGUGCUCCUCACGGGGCACAGGUGUCACAGACCCGCUUCCUGCACCUGCGGGAGGACUCGGCCACAGCGCACAGACCCUUUUUUAUAUCUUGAGAGGCAGUUCACGGGACUUACACAAAUCUUUCUCAUUCGGCUUCUGUGUCCAGGGACGCGGGGCUGGCACGGGGUUUUACCUGCUGUUGUCGGAAGAAAACGCCAAGCGUCCUACGGGACCCGCUUCUCGUCCUGAGCCCGGACUCGCCCAUCCGAUUCCUGCUCGUUUGACGCCGAACAAACGAGCCGCAGCUUUCUUCUCUCUUUUCAUUGUUACCUAGGCCCAGGCUGCUACCUAGUCCUUAAACCAGACGGAUUGCACUUAAUUCCUGGCAAGGAGUGGGUCCUCGCAGCUGAAUGUUAUUCUAGUUUUAGGUUGUCAGUGCAACUUGGUAAUGUAUGAAAUUUAGCAUUGCUGCAUUUUAUUAAAAACGUGGACAGUGCAAGGGAACUACACAUGGUACAAAGCGGCUCGGCGAUUAAGUUAUGGGAACGAUCCGGAAUUAUUUCCAAGGGAUAUGUGUGCUUAACCUUUUCUGUUUAAAAGUAUGCAGUCCUGGGCGCCUGGAUGGCUCAGUGGGUUAAGCCUCUGCCUUCGGCUCAGGUCAUGGUGGGAUGAAGCCCCACAUCGGGCUCUCUGCUCGGCGGGGAGUCAGCUUCCCUUCCUCUCUCUCUGCCUACUUGUGAUCUCUCUCAAAUAAAUAAAAUCUUUAUUUAAAAAAAAAAAGAGUGAAAAAAGUAUGCAAUACUGUGAAUUAUGUGGAAAAUUGAGGUUAAAAAUUACUGUGGGUUUUGGUAUCAACUUAAUUGGAAUGUUUGUACUUACAGUUAACGAGAAUAUAAUAGAGAAGCAGACAUAGUAUGCAAAUAAGCCCAGAAGAUCUUUAAUGUACAACACACAACUAUUAUUGGAUGCUUAGUCAUGUGAAGGGCUCAACAACAACAAAAAAGGUACUAUCUCGUUUUUACGUAAUGGCAGUAUUUUAGUGGAAGCAUAAAGUGUACCAAAUCAAAGUAUAUGACAAAUAUUCUGAUUCUUUUUUUAAUUUAUUUAUUUUCAGCAUAACAGUAUUCAUUGUUUAUGCACCACCCCCAGUGCUCCAUGCAAUCCGUGCCCUCUCUAAUACCCACCACCUGGUACCCUGACCUCCCACCCCCCACCCCUUCAAAACCCUGAUUGUUAAUAGCAAUGGAUGCAAUUUUUAUUGCUGCUUCCUUUUGCAGCUUAAUUUAUAAAUUAAGAAUAAAAGGAGAAACACUGGCUUUUCUUUCACUUGAUUAUUCAAAGUGCAUGCGUGU
ensembl:lincRNA